rnacentral:rRNA from 1 species
AUUGAACGCUGGCGGCAGGCCUAACACAUGCAAGUCGAACGAGUGGCGGACGGGUGAGUAAUGUCUGGGCAACUGCCUGAUGGAGGGGGAUAACUACUGGAAACGGUAGCUAAUACCGCAUACCAUCAGAUCUGACCAGAUGGGAUUAGCUAGGUGGUGGGGUAAAGGCGCACCAAGGCGACGAUCCCUAGCUGGUCUGAGAGGAUGACCAGCCACACUGGAACUGAGACACGGUCCAGACUCCUACGGUAGGCAGCAGUGGGGAAUAUUGCACAAUGGGCGCAAGCCUGAUGCAGCAAUGCCGCGUGUAUGAAGAAGGCCUUCGGGUUGUAAAGUACUUUCAGCGGGGAGGCGUUACCCGCAGAAGAAGCACCGGCUAACUCCGUGCCAGCAGCCGCGGUAAUUC